CCUACGGGAGGCAGCAGUGAGGAAUAUUGGUCAAUGGGCGUAAGCCUGACGCAGCGACGCCGCGUGAGGGAUGAAGGUCUUCGGAUCGUAAACCUCUGUCAGCAGGGAAGAACGGUCACUGUGCUAAUCAGCAGUGAAUUGACGGUACCUGCAAAGGAAGCACCGGCUAACUCCGUGCCAGCAGCCGCGGUAAUAAGGAGGGUGCGAGCGUUAAUCGGAAUUACUGGGCGUAAAGCGCUCGUAGGCGGUAUGUCAAGUCAAGGGUGAAGUCCCCGCGCUCAACGUGGGAACUGCAUUUGAAACUGGCAAACUGGAGUGUGUGAGAGGAUAGUGGAAUUCCAGGUGUAGGAGUGAAAUCCGUAGAUAUCUGGAGGAACAUCAGUGGCGAAGGCGACUAUCUGGCACAUAACUGACGCUGAGGAGCGAAAGCGUGGGUAGCAAACAGGAUUAGAUACCCCUGUAGUC
rnacentral:rRNA from 1 species